rnacentral:rRNA from 1 species
CAGCGCCACGAGUGGUAACCGCGAUUAUUGGGCCUAAAGCGUCCGUAGCCGGCCUUAUAAAUCCUUUGUGAAAUUGUGCGGCUUAACCGUACAACGUGCAAGGGACACUGUAAGGCUCGAGACCGGGAGGAGUCAGAAGUAUUCCAGAGGGAGCGGUAAAAUGUUUUAAUCUCUGGAGGACUACCUAUGGCGAAGGCAUCUGACCAGAACGGAUCUGACGGUGAGGGACGAAAGCCAGGGGAGCGAACCGGAUUAGAGACCCGAGUAGUCC